AAAUUCUUGGGCUGGUUGGCUUAGGAUCUGGUGGUGGAUUUGAACGUUUGCACUACAUGCUUGAAAGAGUCUGGGAUCCUGUACUUGUUCCCGGCGCAAAGAAGCGAAUCAGUCACUAUUUCUUGAAAGCUUUUGAGAGCUGGAUACAAUUCGACUCAAAUCCAAUUUAUGCUCUGCUGCAUGAAUCCAUAUACUGCCAGGGCGCAUCAUCGAGGUGGUCAGCCCACAAAAUAAG
rnacentral:misc_RNA from 1 species